GACGAACGCUGGCGGCGUGCUUAACACAUGCAAGUCGAACGGAAAGGCCUGCUUUCCCUUUUGGAUUGCGGGUGCUCGAGUGGCUAACGGGUGAGUAACACGUGAGUGAUCUGCCCCCAACUUGGGUAUAAGCCUGGGAAACUGGGUCUAAUUCCCGAUAGGACUGCAGGGUGGUGCCUGUGGUGGAAAACGAUUUUCUAGUGGUUGGGGAUGAGCUCGCGGCGUAUCAGCUUGGUGGUGGGGUAAUGGCCUACCAAGGCGGCGACGGGUAGCCGGCCUGAGAGGGGGGACGGCAACAGUGGGACUGAGAUACGGCCCAGACGCCUACGGGAGGCAGCAGUGGGGAAUAUUGCACAAUGGGCGGAAGCCUGAUGCAGCGACGCCGCGUGGGGGAUGACGGGCUUCGGGUUGUAAACUCCUUUCGACCGCGAGGAAGCCACCUGGUUGGAAGGGUGGUGACGGUAGUGGUAGAAGAAGCACCGGCUAACUACGUG
rnacentral:rRNA from 1 species